GGGGGGAGCACUGGAUCUUGGGCUGUGUCCCCCAUCGCCCUUCGCUCUGGGGCCUGCACUGCUGGAUUCAGGCUCAGCAGGCCGCGCAGCCCCCU
rnacentral:pre_miRNA from 1 species